rnacentral:rRNA from 1 species
GAUGAACGCUGGCGGCGUGCCUAAUACAUGCAAGUCGAACGCAUAGCGAAAGCUGCUUGCGCCUUUCAGGUGAGUGGCGAACGGGUUAGUAACACGUGGACCACCUGCCUCAUGGCUGGGGAUAACAGGUGGAAACGGAUAAUACUACCGAAUAAAACUUACUGUCGCAUGACACAAAGAUAAAAGGCGCUUCGGCGUCACCUAGAGAUGGAUCCGCGCUGCAUUAGUUAGUUGGGGGGGUAAAGGGCUACCAAGACAAUGAUGCGUAGCCGAGUUGAGUGACUGGUCGGCCACAUGGGGACUGAGACAGGGACAAAACGCCUGCGGGAGGGCGCAGUAGGGAAUCUGACACAAUGGGCGAAAGCCUGAUGGAGCAACGCCGCGUGUGUGAUGAAGGCUUUGGGGUCGUAAAGCACGGUUGUAUGGGAAGAACAGCUAGAGUAGGAAAUGAUUUUAGUUUGACGGUACCAUAUCAGAAAGGGACGGCUAAAUACGUG